rnacentral:rRNA from 1 species
CGCUGGCGGCGUGCUUAACACAUGCAAGUCGAACGAAAAGAGGGAAAGAGCUUGCUCUUUUCAGAAUUGAGUGGCAAACGGGUGAGUAACACGUAAACAACCUGCCUUCAGGAUGGGGACAACAGACGGAAACGACUGCUAAUACCGAAUAAGUUCCAAGAGCCGCAUGGCCCAUGGAAGAAAAGGUGGCCUCUACCUGUAAGCUAUCGCCUGAAGAGGGGUUUGCGUCUGAUUAGCUGGUUGGAGGGGUAACGGCCCACCAAGGCGACGAUCAGUAGCCGGUCUGAGAGGAUGAACGGCCACACUGGAACUGAGACACGGUCCAGACUCCUACGGGAGGCAGCAGUGGGGAAUCUUCCGCAAUGGGCGAAAGCCUGACGGAGCAACGCCGCGUGAGUGAUGACGGCCUUCGGGUUGUAAAACUCUGUGAUCCGGGACGAAAAGGCAGAGUGCGAAGAACAAACUGCAUUGACGGUACCGGAAAAGCAAGCCACGGCUAACUACGUGCCAGCAGCCGCGGUAAUACGUAGGUGGCAAGCGUUGUCCGGAAUUAUUGGGCGUAAAGCGCGCGCAGGCGGCUUCCCAAGUCCCUCUUAAAAGUGCGGGGCUUAACCCCGUGAUGGGAAGGAAACUGGGAAGCUGGAGUAUCGGAGAGGAAAGUGGAAUUCCUAGUGUAGCGGUGAAAUGCGUAGAGAUUAGGAAGAACACCGGUGGCGAAGGCGACUUUCUGGACGA